GGACGUGGUGUAAUGGUAGCAUAGUUGUCUCCAGAACAAUUGAUGGGGGUUCGAUUCCUUCCGUUCU
rnacentral:tRNA from 1 species